AGAGUUUGAUCCUGGCUCAGACGAACGCUGGCGGCAUGCCUAACACAUGCAAGUCGAACGAUGCUUUCGGGCAUAGUGGCGCACGGGUGCGUAACGCGUGGGAAUCUGCCCUUUGGGUCUGGGAUAACUGUUGGAAACGACAGCUAAUACCGGAUGAUGACGUAAGUCCAAAGAUUUAUCGCCAGAGGAUGAGCCCGCGUCGGAUUAGCUAGUUGGUGGGGUAAAGGCCUACCAAGGCGACGAUCCGUAGCUGGUCUGAGAGGAUGAUCAGCCAUACUGGGACUGAGACACGGCCCAGACUCCUACGGGAGGCAGCAGUGGGGAAUAUUGGACAAUGGGCGAAAGCCUGAUCCAGCAAUGCCGCGUGAGUGAUGAAGGCCUUAGGGUUGUAAAGCUCUUUUACCCGGGAUGAUAAUGACAGUACCGGGAGAAUAAGCUCCGGCUAACUCCGUG
rnacentral:rRNA from 1 species